CAGUGGGGAAUAUUGCGCAAUGGGCGAAAGCCUGACGCAGCGACGCCGCGUGAGGGAUGAAGGUCUUCGGAUUGUAAACCUCUUUCAGUAGGGACGAAGCGAAAGUGACGGUACCUAAAGAAGAAGCACCGGCUAACUACGUGCCAGCAGCCGCGGUAAUACGUAGGGUGCAAGCGUUGUCCGGAUUUAUUGGGCGUAAAGAGCUCGUAGGCGGUUAGACACGUCGGAUGUGAAACCUGGUGGCUCAACCACCAGCCUGCAUUCGAUACGGUCUGACUAGAGUGUGGUAGGGGUAACUGGAAUUCCUGGUGUAGCGGUGAAAUGCGCAGAUAUCAGGAGGAACACCGAUGGCGAAGGCAGCGUUACUGGGCCAAUACUGACGCUGAGGAGCGAAAGCGUGGGGAGCAAACAGGAUUAGAUACCC
rnacentral:rRNA from 1 species